UGAGGAAUAUUGGUCAAUGGGCGAGAGCCUGAACCAGCCAAGUAGCGUGCAGGAUGACGGCCCUAUGGGUUGUAAACUGCUUUUAUGUGGGGAUAAAGUGCGUGACGUGUCAUGCAUUGCAGGUACCACAUGAAUAAGGACCGGCUAAUUCCGUGCCAGCAGCCGCGGUAAUACGGAAGGUCCGGGCGUUAUCCGGAUUUAUUGGGUUUAAAGGGAGCGUAGGCUGUCUAUUAAGCGUGUUGUGAAAUUUACCGGCUCAACCGGUGGCUUGCAGCGCGAACUGGUCGACUUGAGUAUGCAGGAAGUAGGCGGAAUUCAUGGUGUAGCGGUGAAGUGCUUAGAUAUCAUGACGAAAUCCGAUUGCGCAGGCAGCUUACUGUAGCAUAACUGACGCUGAUGCUCGAAAGUGCGGGUAUCAAACAGG
rnacentral:rRNA from 1 species